UACGAGGGGGGCGAGCGUUGUUCGGAAUUAUUGGGCGUAAAGGGUGCGUAGGCGGUUCCGCAAGUCCUGUGUGAAAUCUUCGGGCUCAACUCGAAGUCUGCACGGGAAACUGCGGGGCUUGAGUGUGGGAGAGGUGAGUGGGAUUCCCGGUGUAGCGGUGAAAUGCGUAGAUAGUCGGGAGGAACACCUGUGGCGAAAGCGGCUCACUGGACCAUAACUGACGCUGAUGCACGAAAGCUGGGGGAGCAAACAGG
rnacentral:rRNA from 1 species